rnacentral:rRNA from 1 species
GAUUAACGCUAGCGGCAGGCCUAAUACAUGCAAGUUGAACGGGAUUAAGUAGCAAUACUUAUGAGAGUAGCGCACGGGUGCGUAACGCGUAUGCAAUCUACCUUUAACUGGGGAAUAGCCCAAAGAAAUUUGGAUUAAUACCGCAUAAUAUAAUUGAAUGGCAUCAUUUGAUUAUCAAAACUACGGUGGUUAAGAUGAGCAUGCGUGACAUUAGCUAGUUGGGAGGUAAUGGCUCACCAAGGCUCCGAUGUCGUAGGGGGUCGUGAGGAGGAUGACUCCCCCACCA